rnacentral:rRNA from 1 species
GGCGCACGGUGGAUGCCUUGACACUAGGAGUCGAUGAAGGACGGGACUAACACCGAUAUGCUUCGGGGAGCUGUAAGUAAGCUUUGAUCCGGAGAUUUCCGAAUGGGGAAACCCACCAUACGUAAUGGUAUGGUAUCUUUAUCUGAAUACAUAGGGUAAAGAGGACAGACCCAGGGAACUGAAACAUCUAAGUACCUGGAGGAAGAGAAAGCAAAUGCGAUUUCCUGAGUAGCGGCGAGCGAAACGGAAUCUAGCCCAAACCAAGAGGCUUGCCUCUUGGGGUUGUAGGACAUUCUAUACGGAGUUACAAAGGAACGAGGUAGACGAAGCAGCCUGGAAAGGCUCGUCAUAGAAGGUAACAACCCUGUAGUUGAAACUUCGUUCCCUCUUGAAUGUAUCCUGAGUACGGCGGAACACGUGAAAUUCCGUCGGAAUCUGGGAGGACCAUCUCCCAAGGCUAAAUACUACCUAGUGAUCGAUAGUGAACCAGUACCGUGAGGGAAAGGUGAAAAGCACCCCGGAAGGGGAGUGAAAGAGAUCCUGAAACCGUGUGCCUACAAAUAGUCAGAGCCCGUUAACGGGUGAUGGCGUGCCUUUUGUAGAAUGAACCGGCGAGUUACGAUCCCGUGCGAGGUUAAGCUGAAGAGGCGGAGCCGUAGCGAAAGCGAGUCUGAAUAGGGCGUUUAGUACGUGGUCGUAGACCCGAAACCAGGUGAUCUACCCAUGUCCAGGGUGAAGUUCAGGUAACACUGAAUGGAGGCCCGAACCCACGCACGUUGAAAAGUGCGGGGAUGAGGUGUGGGUAGCGGAGAAAUUCCAAUCGAACCUGGAGAUAGCUGGUUCUCCCCGAAAUAGCUUUAGGGCUAGCCUUAAGUGUAAGAGUCUUGGAGGUAGAGCACUGAUUGAACUAGGGGUCCUCAUCGGAUUACCGAAUUCAGUCAAACUCCGAAUGCCAAUGACUUAUCCUUAGGAGUCAGACUGCGAGUGAUAAGAUCCGUAGUCAAAAGGGAAACAGCCCAGACCGCCAGCUAAGGUCCCAAAGUGUGUAUUAAGUGGAAAAGGAUGUGGAGUUGCUUAGACAACUAGGAUGUUGGCUUAGAAGCAGCCACCAUUUAAAGAGUGCGUAAUAGCUCACUAGUCGAGUGACUCUGCGCCGAAAAUGUACCGGGGCUAAAUACACCA